AGCUAAGUAGUAUAGUGGUUUGAAUGUUGGACUAUGACUAGAGACCAGGUUUCAAAUCCCCACUUAGCCA